UACGGAGGGGGCUAGCGUUGUUCGGAAUUACUGGGCGUAAAGCGCACGUAGGCGGACCUGCAAGUUGGGGGUGAAAUCCCGAGGCUCAACCUCGGAACUGCCUUCAAAACUGCUGGUCUUGAGUUCGAGAGAGGUGAGUGGAAUUCCGAGUGUAGAGGUGAAAUUCGUAGAUAUUCGGAGGAACACCAGUGGCGAAGGCGGCUCACUGGCUCGAUACUGACGCUGAGGUGCGAAAGCGUGGGGAGCAAAC
rnacentral:rRNA from 1 species